UACGUAGGGUGCAAGCGUUGUCCGGAAUUAUUGGGCGUAAAGAGCUCGUAGGCGGUUUGUCGCGUCUGCUGUGAAAACCUAAGGCUCAACCUUGGGCUUGCAGUGGGUACGGGCAGACUAGAGUGCGGUAGGGGUGACUGGAAUUCCUGGUGUAGCGGUGGAAUGCGCAGAUAUCAGGAGGAACACCGAUGGCGAAGGCGGGUCUCUGGGCCGAUAUUGACGCU
rnacentral:rRNA from 1 species